rnacentral:rRNA from 1 species
AUGGCGCACGCCAUCGUCGAAAGCUCAUGGGCCAAGCUCACAUCCGCCAUCCAAGACGGGGCCGCGCCGGCGCCGCGGCACCCCGACCUCACCAGCGACCUGCGGAAAAUGCUGGAGGCGCUGGACGUCGUGAGGCCGCUGCUGGAGGAGGCCGAGAGGCGGUCGCUGCUCAAGGAGGCGUUGCGGAUCAGGAACGCCGCCGUCCGCAUCUGCGACCUGGUGGACGAGUUGCACCACGACUCGUGGGCGCCGGCUGAUGGAAAGGUGUUGUGGAACUCAUCAAGAUCUUCGUCUGGGCGAGUAUGA